rnacentral:rRNA from 1 species
UACGGAGGGUGCGAGCGUUGUCCGGAAUCACUGGGCGUAAAGGGCGCGUAGGCGGCAGGCCAAGCGUGCGGUGAAAGUCCGGGGCUCAACCCCGGAUCUGCCGUGCGGACUGGUUUGCUAGAGCACUGUAGAGGCGAGUGGAAUUCCGGGUGUAGCGGUGGAAUGCGUAGAGAUCCGGAAGAACACCAGUGGCGAAGGCGGCUCGCUGGGCAGUGGCUGACGCUGAGGCGCGACAGCGUGGGGAGCAAACAGG